CCCUGCCAUUUGUACACACCGCCCGUCGCUACUACCGAUUGAAUGGCUUAGUGAGACCUCCGGAUUGGCUUUGGGGAGUCGGCAACGACACCCUAUCGCUGAGAAGCUGGUCAAACUUGGUCAUUUAG
rnacentral:rRNA from 1 species